GGCCGGGUCCCACGCAAUGGUUCUCCAUGAACUCCGUCAGGACCGGAAGGUAGCAGCGGUAAGUGGGCGGGAUCAUGUGACGUGGUCAAGCCUGGCCGCC
rnacentral:SRP_RNA from 1 species